rnacentral:rRNA from 1 species
UACGGAGGGUGCGAGCGUUGUCCGGAGUUACUGGGCGUAAAGCGCACGCAGGCGGUCUGCUAAGUUUGGAGUGACAGUUGGUGGCUUAACUGCCAAAGUGCUUCGAAAACUGACAGACUUGAGGGCUUCAGAGGGACACGGAAUUCCGGGUGGAGUGGUGAAAUGCGUAGAGAUCCGGAGGAACACCAAAGGCGAAGGCAGUGUCCUGGGGAGUACCUGACGCUCAGGUGCGAAAGCCAGGGGAGCGAACGGG